UCAGGUUGUAGCUUAAUAUGUGCAAAGCGCUGGAUUUGGGAUCCAGUAGAUGUGAGUUCGAAUCUCACUGGCCUGACCCA
rnacentral:tRNA from 1 species